rnacentral:rRNA from 1 species
UAAUACGAGGGGGGCCAGCGUUGUCCGGAUUUAUUGGGCGUAAAGAGUUCGUAGGCGGGUCAGUCAGUCAAAAUUGAAAUCCCACGGCUUAACCGUGGACCCGGUUUUGAUACUGCUGAUCUUGAGUGAGACAGAGGUAAGCGGAAUUCCUGGUGUAGCGGUGAAAUGCGUAGAUAUCAGGAGGGACACCGAAGGCGAAGGCAGCUUACUGGGUCUAUACUGACGCUGAGGAACGAAAGCGUGGGGAGCAAACAGGAUUAGAGACCCUGGUAGUCCACGCUGUAAACGAUGAGUACUUGGUGGUGGGGGAUACGACCCCUUCACUGUCGGAGCUAACGCGUUAAGUACUCCGCCUGGGGACUACGACCGCAAGGUUG